UUAAGUCCCUGCCAGGCUGAGGUCAAGUGUGCGGUGGAGCUUAGAAGUGCUGGGCGGCUCCAUGGACGAACCCGCCCACCCACCUCCUGCCCCGCCUGCCCGCCACUCCACAGGGCGACAGGAAAGCGUCCACGAUGGGCAGGUCCUGAAUUGCCCUGAAGACACCCUCACCCCCGGGCUGGAGCAAGACCCUCGCUCUGAACUGGGCUCCUCCCUGGACGCCCCCCCGCCCCCCGACCUGGGAGCAAGGGGCCUUUGCACAGGCUGGAGUCCCCAACAACAAUCCCAGCCAGGGAGGCCUUCUGUCCCUACCACCCAUCCCUGGGUGCUUUCUUCCUCUGGCCUCCGUCUCCCCAGAAAGUGGCUCUUCCUUCUCUUCUCUGAGGCUGGGAGCCCUCACAACAUUCCUCGGACAGGAAGGAUUCCUGCCAGACUCUUCCUGCCCAGCCACCAAAGCCUGCACAGUGGGGCUGGACAGCCCCAUUCCAACCACAGGCCUGGCACACAAUGAGGGUCAGAAGUCACCAAUGGGGCAAGUGAGGCUCGGAGCUGUGGGCAUAACCUCAGACACAGGUCACCAUUCCUCUCCAAGCCUUGGGUACCGCGCUGCUUCCGCAACAGUGACAAAAUGGAGUGCUUUCAAGGCGGAGGUGGGCUUGUGGGAGCACGGCGCCCCCUCCCCGCCGCCCAGCCCGUCCCCACGGUGGCUGUGUGAGCCGAAGGCUGGACCGCUUCCUCUCCCAACGGGGGGCCAGGGUGGCAGAGUGGGCAGAGGGAGAGGAAGCCAUGGCCUGGGUCAGGGCCCGAGGCCGACGCAAAAGGCUGCGGCACUUUGGGGAGGUGGUGGAAUCAUUAGGAUCUGGGGGCCUAGCCAGAAGGAAGUGAGGUCAUGGGAGGUGUGGCCUUCAAGAGGAUGUUAGGGCUGCCUCUUCCUGUCCCUGUCUCUGCUCACUCUCUCAGCCUCCUCGGCUCACACACAGCCACUACGAUGUAUUCAGCUGCCACAGGCCCCAACGCAAAGGGUCCACGUGGCCACGACUAGAAGGUCAGAUAGCAUGCACCAAAUAAACCUUUCCUCAAGUUGA